rnacentral:lncRNA from 1 species
AUGGUGAGUGGUCAGCUCGCCUUCCUUCGACUUCUGGGCGUUUUAACAGUUGCACCCACAGAGCAUUUGUGUCUGCCCACCGGGGGGUGCACUGGGGACACGGCCUGCAGGACAGCGAGGGGCAGAAGGGACAACACGCUGAAGGUGCCGGCUGUUCCCGGCAGCAGCUCUGAGCUGGGCUGCCCUCGAGGCGAGGCGGGCUUCUGCGUGGCUACACCGCCGGUCCCUGGGGGAGGACGCCUGGCAGCCGUCCUGCGGCUCCCUCUGCCUGGGACGAAUCUGGACUCCACUGCAAAUCCUUGCAGCCAACGGCCCCAGCAGCCGGGAGGGUGGAUGUUGGUCGGGACCGGGUGGCACUCCCAGUGUCCACGGCAGGGCCAAACCGGGGGUGGGACAAGCUGUAUGUGGGGUGCCAGGGAGUCCCAGCGCCUGAGUCCGCUGGCUGAAGUCUGCCACGUAGCCCUGGGUAGUGACAGAAAUUGGGCACCGUGUCCGUCCCCUCCCAGAGCGACGUGGGAUCCAAUGCAAGGUGUGGGCAUUGGCCUUGUGCCUUUGAGCUCUUUCCCCCUGAGCUUUCUCUCGGGCCACUCCUCUGUGCAGUGGACUCUGGCCAGCCUGCCGGGUGCAGUGGCUUGGCGGUCACGGAACCACGAAACCACUCGCUCGCCCUCCUGCCGGCCUCGGCGUCCCUGCCUGCAGCAUGGCACUCAGCGGUGCCGUGGGGAUGGGAUAAUCACGCCGUCUCAGUCGGUGGCCGUCACAGCCCCCCAGCAGCUGCUGCCUUCUCAGCAACUCCCACGCUCCGUCAAUGGCCUGGCCAGCGUGGCCUUGGCUGCUCAGCAAAGCCAGCCCUGCGCUCCGCCCCUCUGUCCUCGCAGCCCUUUCUUGGGACGAGCGGCAGGAGGCGCGAGCUCGGGGUGCACAGGGGCCCGGUGGGAGGGGCAGCUGCGGUGGGGCUGCGUGGGCCCUGGGCCCCCACCUGUUCGAGAGCCGCAGGACGGCCUCUGCUCCAUGCCCGCACCGCACUGGCCAUGUCCUGUCUGGUCUCUCCCACGGACCUUGCGCUGA